rnacentral:rRNA from 1 species
CCUACGGGAGGCAGCAGUGGGGAAUCUUGCGCAAUGGGGGCAACCCUGACGCAGCCAUGCCGCGUGAAUGAUGAAGGCCUUAGGGUUGUAAAGUUCUUUUGCCCGUGACGAUGAUGACGGUAACGGGAGAAUAAGCUCCGGCUAACUUCGUGCCAGCAGCCGCGGUAAUACGAAGGGGGCUAGCGUUGUUCGGAAUUACUGGGCGUAAAGCGCGCGCAGGCGGUUCGAUAAGUUAGGGGUGAAAUCCCUGGGCUCAACCCAGGAAUGGCCUUUAAGACUGUCGAGCUAGAGGACGAGAGAGGUGAGUGGAAUUCCCAGUGUAGAGGUGAAAUUCGUAGAUAUUGGGAAGAACACCGGUGGCGAAGGCGGCUCACUGGCUCGUUUCUGACGCUGAGGCGCGAAAGCGUGGGGAGCAAACAGGAUUAGAUACCCUGGUAGUCCACGCCCUAAACGAUGAGUGCCAGGUGUCGGGAAGCUUAGCUUCUCGGCGCCGCAGCUAACGCCUUAAGCACUCCGCCUGGGGAGUACGGCCGCAGGUUAAAACUCAAAUGAAUUGACGG